AUGCUUGGUAUAUUUCAGUUAAUCAAUCGCUCAAGAAUUUCAUCUUUGCCUUAUUACCGGCGUUUAUUCAGUGUACCAUGGAUUCCUCCUGUGUUUAUUUUCAUCUAAAGGACAUUUAGUGAUUAAGUAAUAAUAAAAUUGAAGUUUUAAAGCUUUGAUUAACUUAGAUUUAGAAGCCAUUAUUUAUCCAAUUUCCUCGACUAAUUGGGUUACAUUAAAUGAUCUUCUGCUAUAAUUAACAAUCAACAGCAUGAACAAAACUGCAUUUUCUGAAGUAACCUAACAAGAUUGAAAAGAAAGGUGAAUAAUUAACUCACAAAGAAAAUCAAUUGUGAAAAAAUUAUACCAACCAUAAUUAACGAAGCCAAUGAAUACUCAACAGCAGAGAAUAUUGUAUUGAACUUUCCUCCCCUGGUAUGUUCCAAUACUUGAAUGAUUUUAAUUUUAGAUGGACCAGGAAUUCGUCUGAACAUCAAUCGAUUUAACUGGAAUAAACACUUCUCAAUCUUCAUCACAUUGUUCAACCAAACGCUGCAACUUUGGAAGUUGAAUUGAAAAUUAAUAUUUACCUGUACUUUAGCAAUGUGUCCAGCUAUAAAAUGAAUCGAUUGGCCACCAAGAAAAUUGACAAUUGCCAUCAGGAAAAAUGAACAUUUCAUGAGAAACGGAACUGAUACAAAAAAGAGGAGAUACAACAGGACUGAUUGAGCCAAAUAAGUGGAUAAAAAGAUUGUUGAAUUGAGAUGUUCCCAGAAAACUUUGGAUCCGUUCAGAUGACGAAGUUCCUUUGUGACUCGGUGAAGGUACACAUUGAUGUGCUUUGCUGUCUGUUUAUUUAUGGCUAAAUAAUUGAUCAUUUUAUCUACUCGUUUGGCUAGUCUAUUGAAUGUUACUCCAAGCAUCAUACAAUGAAAUGUAAACAUACAACCAGUGGAUCCUAGAUAAACAGCGGUCAAGAAUGCGUUAAAAAUAUUGAGUAUAUAAUUAAAGAGACAGUAAGCAAUCAAACUGGUCGGACAACGUGAUAGCGUGAUCAUCUGAAACAAAGCAAUACCAGCCACAGAAAAAACAAGAACAAUCCUUGUUUGAAGAAGAAAACUUUUCCUUAUUAAUUUAUCUAAAGAAGAGACUGAAGCUUUUGGUGAUAAAUAUACGAAGCUUUGGAUCCAGCUUUGAUGUUUCUUUGAAUAUUGAGUGUAUUUUAUGAACAGAGCACAGUAUAAGGUACCAGAUAACCAUAAUAACAAGAUGAGUGAUAUUUCUCGGUGAAAAAUGAAUCCAAGGGAAACUGUUGGUGCUCCUAACUUGUAAAAUAUUGGAUCGUCACUUGGAUCGGAAAAUAAUAACCAAAACUCUUUUAAUAUUGCUCCAAAGUAGAUGAACAGGGACAAUGAACAAGUCAAUACUAAAAAUGAUGAUUUACUAACAUUUACUGGAUUUAUUGCUAGGACAAGAAAGUUAAGGGAAUUAAACUUAAGAUGACCAAAAAUUAGCCAAAAAAGUGCAAGUUGGACUCAAUUUUAUCGAAAACUACUGAUCAUCAAAAUGGCCUCAGUUGUAAUGACAAACCCACAAAGUCCCAACUCGAGAAGUCAGACUUGUAUCACUACUCCUUACAUGAUGUAUGUUUAACUUAGGUCUACACAGUGAGCAUCAAUCAAGAUAAUCACAAUUGAAUAAAAUGUAAAAUAUUUCAUUCUCAUCACCGCCCAAUGAAUUUUGUUUGAAAAGCUAUAUUAUUAUCACCAUCAUUAUGAUUAUUAUGAGUACCAUCAAUGUUAAGGAAGGUAACAAGUUAAGGUUCAUGUUUUAUUGCCAAGUUAAAAAUGGGUUCAAAUAAAUUAUCAACACUAAUCUAUUAUUUGCUGAUGUAUUUGAAUGGACGCCCUGGACUGAUCAUGGUGGCCUUUUACCCUGGACGUUAAUCAAGUCUACACGGGAAGACGAUAAAGAUGAUAAUGGGUGACCUGGGUGCCAAUGCUUUUUUCACCGUAAAGUGACCCAGGUCAUCGGGCGUCAGCAUCCUCAUUAUGGAUAUACCCUUACCAUUGGAAAGAUUUAUGUCAUAAUUGGAUAUCCAACCUUUUCUAGUUUUGUACCUUAUCAACCUGUCCAUUUGAUUUUGCCUCGUCCAUCACAUGUAAACUUAAUUUCUUAUCAAUACCUUCUUCCUUUUGACCAUCAUCAUUAUCCUCAUCUUUAAUGUCUUUUGGUCUACAGCUUUAACCUUUCAUCUUCACCAUCUUUUUUUAUCGUGACUUGAAGACAUUUAGGUGCAAACCAAGAAACCAUGAUCUUCAUCUUGAACCUUUUUUGCCUCCAAUUCACCUUUACUCUUGUAACUUAAGGUUGUGUCUGUGUGUGUGUCUUCAAGUAUCAUCUUGAAGCUUCUUCAUCAUUGUCCAGAUAAAUUAUUACACCCAUCGAUCAUCCACAUCAAUUUAACAAUUUACAAAGCCAUUAA